rnacentral:rRNA from 1 species
GACGAACGCUGGCGGCGUGCCUAAUACAUGCAAGUAGAACGCUGAAGAGAGGAGCUUACUCUUCUUGGAUGAGUUGCGAACGGGUGAGUAACGCGUAGGUAACCUGCUUUGUAGCGGGGGAUAACUAUUGGAAACGACAGCUAAUACCGCAUAACCUUGGAUGACACAUUUCAUUUAUUUGAAAGGGGCAAUUGCUCCACUACAAGAUGGCCCUGCUUUGUAUUAGCUAGUAGGUGAGGUACUGGCGCUCCUAGGCGACGAUACAUAGCCGACAGGAGAGGGUGGGUGGCCGGACUGGGAGGGAGACAGGGCACAGACGCCGUGGGGAGGGAGCAGUAGGGAAACUGGGGCAAUGGGGGGAACACUGACCGAGCAACGCCGAGUGAGUGAAGAAGGUUUUCGGAUCGUAAAGGACGGUUGUAAGUCAAGAACGGGUGUUAGAGUGGAAAGUUCACACUGUGACGGUAGCUGAUAAGAAAGGGACGGCUAACUACGUG